rnacentral:rRNA from 1 species
AGAGCGAACGCUGGCGGCAGGCUUAACACAUGCAAGUCGAGCGGGCGUAGCAAUACGUCAGCGGCAGACGGGUGAGUAACGCGUGGGAACGUACCUUUUGGUUCGGAACAACCCAGGGAAACUUGGGCUAAAUACCGGAUAAGCCCUUACGGGGAAAGAUUUAUCGCCGAAAGAUCGGCCCGCGUCUGAUUAGCUAGUUGGUGAGGUAAUGGCUCACCAAGGCGACGAUCAGUAGCUGGUCUGAGAGGAUGAUCAGCCACAUUGGGACUGAGACACGGCCCAAACUCCUACGGGAGGCAGCAGUGGGGAAUAUUGGACAAUGGGCGCAAGCCUGAUCCAGCCAUGCCGCGUGAGUGAUGAAGGCCCUAGGGUUGUAAAGGCUCUUUUGUGCGGGAAGAUAAUGACGGUACCGCAAAGAAUAAGCCCCGGCUAACUUCGCGCCAGCAGCCGC